rnacentral:rRNA from 1 species
AUGAACGCUAGCGGCAGGCCUAACACAUGCAAGUCGAGGGGCAGCACAGGUAGCAAUACUGGGUGGCGACCGGCGGAUGGGUGCGUAACACGUAUGCAACCUACCAUUGAUUGGGGCAUAGCCCGAAGAAAUUCGGAUUAAUACUCCAUAAUAUUCAUCAAAGGCAUCUUUUAUGAAUUAAAGCUUUUGCGAUCAAUGAUGGGCAUGCGUGACAUUAGUUAGUUGGUGAGGUAACGGCUCACCAAAACGAUGAUGUCUAGGGGUUCUGAGAGGAUUAUCCCCCACAUUGGUACUGAGACACGGACCAGACUCCUACGGGAGGCAGCAGUGAGGAAUAUUGGUCAAUGGACGCAAGUCUGAACCAGCCAUGCCGCGUGCAGGGUGACGGCCCUAUGGGUUGUAAACUGCUUUUCCACGGGAAGAACCCUCCGACGUGUCGGAGACUGACGGUACCGUGGGAAUAAGCAUCGGCUAACUCCGUG